AGCUCCAAUAGCGUAUAUUAAAGCUGCUGCAGUUAAAAAGCUCGUAGUUGGAUCUUGGCCCGUGGGCGGGCGGAAGUACUCCGUAGUCUUCGCUGCCCGUCCCCGGUCCCUCCUCCGGUCCAAUCCCGAUGCCCUUGGUUGAGUGACGGGAGCGGCCGGAACGUUUACUUUGAAGAAAUUAGAGUGUUCAAAGCAGGCCGGUAUGCGCCUGGAUAGUCCAGCAUGGAAUAAUGGAAUAGGACCUCGGUCCCAUUGCGUUGGUCUUCGGAAUGCGAGGUAAUGAUCGAGAGGGACUGACGGGGGCAUUCGUACUGCGGCGUUAGAGGUGAAAUUCUUGGAUCGUCGCAAGACGGACACCAGCGAAAGCAUUUGCCAAGGAUGUUUUCA
rnacentral:rRNA from 1 species